CACCAAGGCGACGAUCGGUAGCUGGUCUGAGAGGAUGAUCAGCCACAUUGGGACUGAGACACGGCCCAAACUCCUACGGGAGGCAGCAGUGGGGAAUAUUGGACAAUGGGCGCAAGCCUGAUCCAGCCAUGCCGCGUGAGUGAUGACGGCCCUAGGGUUGUAAAGCUCUUUCACCCACGACGAUAAUGACGGUAGUGGGAGAAGAAGCCCCGGCUAACUUCGUGCCAGCAGCCGCGGUAAUACGAAGGGGGCUAGCGUUGUUCGGAUUUACUGGGCGUAAAGCGCGCGUAGGCGGAUCUUUAAGUCAGGGGUGAAAUGCCGGAGCUCAACUUCGGAACUGCCUUUGAUACUGGAGAUCUUGAGUUCGGGAGAGGUGAGUGGAACUGCGAGUGUAGAGGUGAAAUUCGUAGAUAUUCGCAAGAACACCAGUGGCGAAGGCGGCUCACUGGCCCGAUACUGACGCUGAGGCGCGGAAGCGUGGGGAGCAAACAGGAUUAGAUACCCUGGUAGUCCACGCCGUAAACGAUGGAUGCUAGCCGUUAGGCAGCUUGCUGCUUAGUGGCGCAGCUAACGCUUUAAGCAUCCCGCCUGGGGAGUACGGUCGCAAGA
rnacentral:rRNA from 1 species